GAUGAAGAACGUAGCGAAAUGCGAUACUUGGUGUGAAUUGCAGAAUCCCGUGAACCAUCGAGUCUUUGAACGCAAGUUGCGUCCGAAGCCAUUAGGCCGAGGGCACGCCUGCCUGGGCGUCACACGUCGUUGCCCCCCCAUCUACUCCUUCGGGAUUGCGGGGGGCGGAUGAUGGCCUCCCGUGCGCCUCGCCGCGCGGUUGGCAUAAAUGCCAAGUCCUCGGCGACGCACGCCACGACAAUCGGUGGUUGCGAAACCUCGGUUGCCCGUCGUGUGCGGUCGUCGCGCAUCGAGGGCUCGAAAAAAUUGCCGGGUUCCGGCUCGGCUUUCAACGCGACCCCAGGUCAGGCGGGGUUACCCGCUGAAUUUAAGCAUAUCAAUAAGCGGAGGA
rnacentral:misc_RNA from 1 species